AAAUCUGACGAGAGAAAAAAAAACAAAGAAAUUAUAACCUAAUUGUGACUCUUCUUCUGCUCAUACAUACGUAACGCUUUGCUUCUGACGACCAUCUCUCAGCCAGACCCUUCAUUUAUAAUAUCUUUUCAUCUCCCACACCUUCCCAUUCUCUUAAAUGUAACACGUAUAAAGUAGCCUAAUUGUAGACUGAUUCAAUUCCAUUAUCUAUUUAUCUACACCUCUGUCUUAUAAACAUGAGUUUUCAACUCGAAAAGCUAAGAGGACACUGGAGAAAUACUGCGGAUGAUUGUAUGAGAAUCAUCGAGUCAGAGGUAACCAAACCAGAAGCUGAGCCAAACGCGCAAGUAUUUUUUAGUAAGGAGUGCAUGAGUCCAAAGGAUCCCAUCCCAUGUCAACUCUUUUAUUAGUGAUGCCACAACAAUCUCCUCUUUCUUACAAGAGCGUGAUCGAUACCUUCUCGGCUUCUCCAUUUUAUUUAGCCGUAUACGAUUGGGAAUCCAAGUCUUAGUUGAUCAUAUUACAGAUUUAUUUAGGCCAUAAGACUCAUUUACCUCCUUUUUACAUCGCUUCCUUUUCUUUCUUAUUCUGUUGCAGUACAGAAACCCACGAUCUCCACAUUUUUUUAAGGGUUUGGAAUAGCUGAUGAAAAUCCAUUCGUAUAGAGACGCAAUUUGUGUUCUAUUCUACAAAAUCAGAUUCUCUUGAAUGACAAAGUAUGAUUUGGUUUCCGAAUGAGGGAUCACGACCAAACUCCCAGGAAGCUAGGGAUUUUGAAGUGUCCUCUAAAUUAGUUGAAAGCUAUCAGCUUUGCUCUGCAAAACUAUGGCGUCUACUGAAGGUAUGACUUCGUAAACGCUGGUUUAUGAAUUUUUCUGAUUUUUGAAUUGAGAUAUAUAUUUUGUCUGUGGUUAAUUUUAAUGUUGUAGACUGUUUCUCCCAAAUCGUUCUACUUGAUGGAUUCAAAUUGAAUAUUUGAUUUCAA